UUUUUAUCCAGGGCUCAUUUCUUGUCCGCCAUAUUUGUUUAUAAAUUGAAUUAAUUUGUUGAUAUUUUUCGACUUUUUAUACCAAGAUUUUCGUCGAAUUAGCAGCGUUUUUGCUGCUUGAAAGGUAUGUAUUAUUGCUAUGCUUGUUAUAUUUGUGAUUGUUUGUGUGUUUCAAAACAGAUUUUGUUGUUAAAUGUCUGGUAGAGUUUACAUAGUUCAUCUACAGUAUAUUGGGCUAUUACAUUUAAUAUCUGUACUCCCCUGUCGAGGACCUCAUUUUCCAAGGGGGAAAUUAGUAGUCAUUUUUUCCAGAGGGGUAAUUGGGGAAAAUGGAAGAAAAAUGCUCUUUCCAGAGGGGUAAAAAGCAAAAAAGCACUUCCAGAGGGGGUUCAAGUCUCUUCCAGAGGGGUCAAUUACACAGAUUUUUUUUGCAUUCCAGAGGGCUAAAAAUCCCCAAAAGCAGAGGUCCUCGACAGGGGGGUUUGGUUUUUUAAUGUAAUAGCCCAUUUUAAUCAUGUCAUUUAAUAGAUUUUCUUUGCAAAAGUUCCUACAGAUGGAAUCACCCAUCUCUAGAAAAACGGCUAGUCAACAGAGAAUACCUAUUCAGAGGUGUAACUUAACACUUGCCCCGGGGGGCAAUUAGGUGAAUAUCAUGACGGGCAAGUAAACAGUUUACCUUGCUUGCCCGAUUGGGCAAGUUGCCUUGCCACCAAAAGCUGGGCAUCUCUAAGCAUCAUCGUUAACAAGCUCGCUACACACGUAAAAACGCACAAGUUGUAACAGGU
rnacentral:lncRNA from 1 species